rnacentral:lncRNA from 1 species
GUGAGUCCUUGCCCUUGGCAAUGCAGGAGGACGAGCAGCUGUACCCUCACUUUCAGGUGGGACUCCAGUUAAUCUCGCGGAUCGACGAGUUCCUCGCAUCUUAACUCUCUCUCUGGAAACAACACAUAACAGAGCACAUAAGCAACACAUAGAGGAAAACAACACAUGCAUCAUGGCAUUGCACAUCAUCAGAUAGACAGGACUAACAUCCUAUCCUAGUGGACAUGUUUUCCUAUUGUGCUUGACCUACUAAACUUCUAU